rnacentral:rRNA from 1 species
GACGAACGCUGGCGGCGUGCUUAACACAUGCAAGUCGAACGAGUGGGGAACGGGUGAGUAACACGUGGGUGAGCUGCCCUGCACUUCGGGAUAAGCCUGGGAAACUGGGUCUACUACCGGCUCGUGUGGGAUGGGCCCGCGGCCUAUCAGCUUGUUGGUGGGGUAAUGGCUACCAAGGCGCGAUCUCUAGCUGGUCUGAGAGGAUGGUCAGCCACACUGGGACUGAGACACGGCCCAGACUCCUACGGGAGGCAGCAGUGGGGAAUAUUGCACAAUGGGCGCAAGCCUGAUACAGCCAUGCCGCGUGUAUGAAGAAGGCCUUAGGGUUGUAAAGUACUUUCAGCGGGGAGGCGUUACCCGCAGAAGAAGCACCGGCUAACUCCGUGCCAGCAGCCGCGGUAAUAC